UUGAAAUACCACCCUUUAAUGUUUGAUGUUCUAACGUUGACCCGUAAUCCGGGUUGCGGACAGUGUCUGGUGGGUAGUUUGACUGGGGCGGUCUCCUCCUAAAGAGUAACGGAGGAGCACGAAGGUUGGCUAAUCCUGGUCGGACAUCAGGAGGUUAGUGCAAUGGCAUAAGCCAGCUUGACUGCGAGCGUGACGGCGCGAGCAGGUGCGAAAGCAGGUCAUAGUGAUCCGGUGGUUCUGAAUGGAAGGGCCAUCGCUCAACGGAUAAAAGGUACUCCGGGGAUAACAGGCUGAUACCGCCCAAGAGUUCAUAUCGACGGCGGUGUUUGGCACCUCGAUGUCGGCUCAUCACAUCCUGGGGCUGAAGUAGGUCCCAAGGGUAUGGCUGUUCGCCAUUUAAAGUGGUACGCGAGCUGGGUUUAGAACGUCGUGAGACAGUUCGGUCCCUA
rnacentral:rRNA from 1 species